rnacentral:lncRNA from 1 species
AUGCACUCAGGGGAGCGCACACUCAGGGGAGCGCACACUCAGGGGAGUGCACACUCAGGGGAGCGCACACUCACAUGUGCGUGCACUCAGGGGAGCACGCACUCAGAUGAUCACACACUCAAGAGGAGAUCACACUCUGACGAGCGCACACUCAGGGGAGCGCACACUCGGGGAGCACACACUCAGAGGAGGUCACACUCAGACGAGUGCACACUCGGGUUAGCGCACACUCAGGAAAGUGCACACUCAAGAGAGCCCACACUCAGGGGAGUGGACACUCAAGGGAGCGCACACUCAGGGGAGUGCACACUCAGGGGAGUGUGCACUCAGGAGCUCACACUCAGACGAACACACCUUCAGAGGACAGCACACCCAGGGGAGCAUGCACUCAGGGGAGUGCACAAUCAGGGGAGCGCACACUCAGAUGAGCAUGCACUCAGGGGAGUAUGCACACAGAUGAGCACACACUCAGAGGAGAUCGCACUCAGACGAGUGCACACUCAGGUGAGCGCACACUCAGGGGAGCGCUCACUCUGGGGAGCGCACACUCAAGGGAGUGCACACUCGGGCGAGUGCACACUCAGGGGAGCCCACACUCGGGGAGUGCACACUCAGGGGAGUGCACACUCGGGCGAGUGCACACUCGGGAGAGCACACUCAGGGGAAGGUGCACUCACACUCAGGGGAGCACACACUCAGGGGAAGGUGCACUCAGGGGAGCGCUCACUCAGGCGAGCACGCGCUCAGAUGAGCAUGCACUCAGGGGAGCUCACACUCAGAUGAACACGCACUCAGAGGAGAGCGCACUCAGGGUAGCGCACACUCAGACGAGCUUGCACUCAGGGGAACACGCACUCAUGGGAGCGCACACUCAGGGGAGCACACACUUGGGGGAGCGCACACUCAGGAGAGUGCACACUCGGGGGACCGCACACUCAGGGGAGCGCACACUCACAUGUGCGUGCACUCAGGGGAGCACGCACUCAGAUGAUCACACACUCAGAAGAGAUCACACUCUGACGAGCGCACACUCAGGGGAGCGCACACUCAGGGGAGCGCACACUCUGGGGAGCGCACACUCAAGGGAAUGCACACUCGGGUGAGUGCACACUCAGGGGAGCGCACACUCAGGGGAAGGUGCACUCAGGGGAGCACUCACUCAGGCGAGCACGCACUCAGAUGAGCAUGCACUCAGGGGAGCUCACACUCAGACGAACACGCCCUCAGAGGAGAGCGCACUCAGGGUAGUGCACACUCAGACGAGCUUGCACUCAGGGGAGCACGCACUCAUGGGAGCGCACACUUGGGGGAGCGCACACUCAGGGAAGUGCACAUUCAGGGGAGUGCACACUCAGGGGUGUACACAUACAGAUGAGCACGCACUCAGAAGAGAUCACACUCAGACGAGUGCACACUCAGGGAAGCACACACUCAGGGGAGCGCACAAUAAGGGGAGCGCGCACUCAGGGGAGCGCACACUCAGGAAAGUGCACACUCAGGGGAGCGCACACUCAGGCGAGUGCACACUCAGGGGAAUGCACACUCAGGGGAGCGUACACUCACAUGUGCAUGCACUCAGGGGAGCACGCCCUCAGAUGAUCACACACUCAGAGGAGAUCACACUCUGACGAGCGCACACUCAGGAGAGUGCACACUUGGGGAGCACAGACUCAAGGGAGUGCACACUCAGACGAGCACACACUCAAGGUGAGCGCACACUCAGGG